rnacentral:tRNA from 1 species
UCCCUUAUAGCUCAGAGGGUAAAAAAUCUGCCUGCAAUGCAGAAGACCCAGGUUCGAUCCCUGUUUAGUGAA